rnacentral:rRNA from 1 species
UACGUAGGGUGCGAGCGUUAAUCGGAAUUACUGGGCGUAAAGCGUGCGCAGGCGGUUUUGUAAGCCAGAUGUGAAAUCCCCGGGCUCAACCUGGGAAUGGCAUUUGGGACUGCAAGGCUGGAGUACGGCAGAGGAGACUGGAAUUCCUGGUGUAGCAGUGAAAUGCGUAGAUAUCAGGAGGAAUACCGAUGGCGAAGGCAGGUCUCUGGGCUGAUACUGACGCUCAUGCACGAAAGCGUGGGGGAGCAAACAGG